rnacentral:rRNA from 1 species
CCAGACUCCUACGGGAGGCAGCAGUGGGGGAUAUUGCACAAUGGGGGAAACCCUGAUGCAGCGACGCCGCGUGGGCGAAGAAGUAUUUCGGUAUGUAAAGCCCUAUCAGCAGGGAAGAAGAAAUGACGGUACCUGAGUAAGAAGCACCGGCUAAAUACGUGCCAGCAGCCGCGGUAAUACGUAUGGUGCAAGCGUUAUCCGGAUUUACUGGGUGUAAAGGGAGCGCAGGCGGCACGGCAAGCCUGAUGUGAAAGCCCGCGGCCCAACCGCGGGACUGCAUUGGGAACUACCGGGCUGGAGUGCCGGAGAGGUAGGCGGAAUUCCUAGUGUAGCGGUGAAAUGCGUAGAUAUUAGGAGGAACACCAGUGGCGAAGGCGGUCAACUGGACAGCAACUGACGCUGAGGCGCGAAAGCGUGGGGAGCAAACAGGAUUAGAUACCCCCGUAUGC